GAUCGAGCAGAGACACAAAACCUUUGGCAUCACAACAAUGCAAAGUCAAAUCAUAAAUCAUGAUUAAGGCGAACCAAGUUAGGUAAAAGAAAGAGAUAAAAAAGUAUUAAUCAUGUUGCAUUAAUAUGCGGAGGUUUCUAUAUUUAUAUAAGAAAGGUACCGUCUCAUAUUAUCAAAAUAUACAUUAACUUCGACACCUAGUGAGUCUUGAGCAGCCACGAUUCCAAGGAUUAACAGCUUCUUAGAGAAGGCGGCGAUAGGAAACAAGACCGGAGACCUCUGGAUGGUGGAUUGUCAUAGCUGCAUCGAUUUGGAUCACCUCUUCCAUCACCACUAUGCCAAUUAGAGCCAAACAAAUUAACCAUGUUUUCAUGUUUGAGACUCCCAUGAUUGGUCUUGGGUUUC
rnacentral:lncRNA from 1 species